rnacentral:rRNA from 1 species
GACGAACGCUGGCGGCGUGCUUAACACAUGCAAGUCGAACGGAAAGGCCCUGCUUUUGUGGGGUGCUCGAGUGGCGAACGGGUGAGUAACACGUGGGUAACCUGCCCUUGACUUUGGGAUAACUUCAGGAAACUGGGGCUAAUACCGGAUAGGAGCUCCUUCUUCAUGGUGGGGGUUGGAAAGUUUCGGCGGUUGGGGAUGGACUCGCGGCUUAUCGGCUUGUUGGUUGGGUAGUGGCUUACCAAGGCUUUGACGGGUAGCCGGCCUGAGAGGGUGACCGGCCACAUUGGGACUGAGAUACGGCCCAGACUCCUACGGGAGGCAGCAGUGGGGAAUAGUGCACAAUGGGCGGAAGCCUGAUGCAGCAACGCCGCGUGCGGGAUGACGGCCUUCGGGUUGUAAACCGCUUUCGCCUGUGACGAAGCGUGAGUGACGGUAAUGGGUAAAGAAGCACCGGCUAACUACGUG